rnacentral:rRNA from 1 species
UACAGAGGGUGCGAGCGUUGUUCGGAAUCAUUGGGCGUAAAGCGCUUGUAGGCGGCUUGUUAAGUCGCGUGUGAAAUCCCUUGGCUCAACCAAGGAAGUGCGCGCGAAACUGGCGAGCUCGAGUGCCGGAGAGGGUCGCGGAAUUCCCGGUGUAGAGGUGAAAUUCGUAGAUAUUAGGAAGAACACCAGUGGCGAAGGCGGCUCACUGGCCCGGUACUGACGCUGAGGCACGAAAGCGUGGGGAGCAAACAGG